rnacentral:lncRNA from 10 species
GGUGAAUGACCAGAAACAGAACCGAAAGCUCUGUAAAGUGCUCUCAAGGUUACAAAGCAUGUUUCACAGGAGCAGUUUCAUCUCACACGGGCAGCCCUCUGAGCUGGGUAGUUACUGCUUUACAGAUGAGGAAACUGAGGCCCGGGAGAGGGCGGGACCUCAGCAAAUCAAGAAAAAACUGAGACUAGGACCUAACGGAAGUCCAGGCUAUGAAUGGCCCCCGUAGGGUUAAAAGAGCUUUCUAGAAAUUUCUUUGAAAACUAUUGUAAAGUGACAUAUUUCCUCAGGAUGUCUGUCACGCCAGCAGUGGGAGCCAACACACCAACUCUCAGAGGCUGUUCCCCCUGCGCGGCAGAUCCAGACGCUCAGCUCCCAGGCCUGGAGGCUGGCGGCUUAGCCCAGGGCACAGGAGGAGGCUGCCUGGGUUUGGCGCUGACUUACAGCAGGUGCUGAGGGAAUGCUGAGGAGAGGCAAGGCUGAUUCAAGAGGCCGACAACAGAGAACAUUCCUAGAGCUCUCCCGCCAGCUAGGCAUGGUGCUAAGUGCAUUACCUGCGUCCACUCGUAACAUCCUCACAACACUGUGAAUACGAUGACCAUCCCCAUGUACAGGCGUGGACGCUAAGGCUCAGAGCAAUAAAUAAUUAGCCUGAGAUCACA